rnacentral:rRNA from 1 species
AGGACGAACGCUGGCGGCGUGCUUAACACAUGCAAGUGGAGCGACGAACCAGGGCUUGCCCUGGGGCAGAGCCGCGAACGGGUGAGUAACACGUGGGUUACCUGCCUUGAUGACCGGGACAACCCGAGGAAACUCGGGCUAAUACCGGAUGUGCCCGCAAGGGGAAAGGAAGCUUCGGCCUCCGCAUCGAGAUGGGCCCGCGGCCCAUUAGCUUGUUGGUGAGGUAACGGCUCACCAAGGCUUUGAUGGGUAGCUGGUCUGAGAGGACGAUCAGCCACACUGGGACUGAGACACGGCCCAGACUCCUACGGGAGGCAGCAGUGGGGAAUCUUGCGCAAUGCGCGAAAGCGUGACGCAGCAACGCCGCGUGGGGGAAGAAGGCUUUCGGGUUGUAAACCCCUUUCAGUUGGGACGAAGCCUCAUCGGUUAAUAGCCGCGUGGGGUGACGGUACCUUCACAAGAAGCACCGGCUAACUACGUGCCAGCAGCCGC